CAGCCGUAAACUAUGCGCGUUAGGUGUACUGGUGACCACGAGUCACCGGGGUGCCGAAGGGAAACCGUGAAACGUGCCGCCUGGGAAGUACGGUCGCAAGGCUGAAACUUAAAGGAUUGGCGGGGGAGCACCACAACGGGUGGAGCCUGCGGUUUAAUUGGACUCAACGCCGGAAAUCUCACCGGAUAGGACAGACAUAUGAUAGUCGGGCUGAAGACUCUACUUGAUGAUCUGAGAGGAGGUGCAUGGCGUCAGUGACU
rnacentral:rRNA from 1 species